rnacentral:rRNA from 1 species
GAAGCUUGCUUCCUGGUGGCGAGCGGCGGACGGGUGAGUAAUGCAUAGAAAUCUGCCCGGUAGUGGGGGAUAACCUGGGGAAACCCAGGCUAAUACCGCAUACGUCCUACGGGAGAAAGCAGGGGAUCUUCGGACCUUGCGCUAUCGGAUGAGUCUAUGUCGGAUUAGCUUGUUGGUGAGGUAAUGGCUCACCAAGGCGACGAUCCGUAGCUGGUCUGAGAGGAUGAUCAGCCACAUCGGGACUGAGACACGGCCCGAACUCCUACGGGAGGCAGCAGUGGGGAAUAUUGGACAAUGGGCGAAAGCCUGAUCCAGCCAUGCCGCGUGUGUGAAGAAGGCCUUCGGGUUGUAAAGCACUUUCAGUGGGGAAGAAAGCCUUGGGGCUAAUACCCUCGAGGAAGGACAUCACCCACAGAAGAAGCACCGGCUAACUCCGUGCCAGCAGCCGCGGUAAUACGGAGGGUGCGAGCGUUAAUCGGAAUUACUGGGCGUAAAGCGCGCGUAGGCGGUCUGAUAAGCCGGUUGUGAAAGCCCCGGGCUCAACCUGGGAACGGCAUCCGGAACUGUCAGGCUAGAGUGCAGGAGAGGAAGGUAGAAUUCCCGGUGUAGCGGUGAAAUGCGUAGAGAUCGGGAGGAAUACCAGUGGCGAAGGCGGCCUUCUGGACUGACACUGACGCUGAGGUGCGAAAGCGUGGGUAGCAAACAGGAUUAGAUACCCUGGUAGUCCACGCCGUAAACGAUGUCGACUAGCCGUUGGGCUCCUUGAGAGCUUUGUGGCGCAGUUAACGCGAUAAGUCGACCGCCUGGGGAGUACGGCCGC